UAGUGAUCUCCAGGGGCGGAUCCAGACCGAUGCCAACGAUGCGAAUGCAUCGGUCAAAAUUGAGAAAUCAUGUUGCUUGAAAUAAUGUGUCGUCAAUACUUAGUCAAGCACUCAGUAAUAGAAUAUCUUUGAAUCUCUCCAGCUAUCAAACCGCAAAUAUUUGCUUAAACUUGACUCCAUGUGACUGUCCAUGUCGGGAAUACACUAUUUAGGAUGAAAUCCAAUUUAAAUUGUCUCAAUAACAGUCGAAAUUGUCAAAAUAAGUCCAAUAUGCGACGUGCGAUCGCAAAAGUAUUUUCUGUUAUUUACUUUUUAUUUUGCGACACUUAAGCGUGAAUAAUUUCGCGACAAAAUAUAUUAUUUUUACCGCAUCCUUUGACGUCACAGUAGAAAGCUGAUGCAUCACCUACGUCACGGUAGAUUUUGUUUGCAUCGAUUUUCAGCCAUUUUGCAUCAGUGAAUGCAUCGGUCCCGAGUCCUUUUCCGCGUAAAAUCUACUGUGACAUCAUCAAAUCUAUUGUUUUAGAGCCCUACGUCACGGUAGAUUAGUCCGCUGAGCGAUGCAUCGCAUGCAGAUUGCGGGCGCUCGCAUCAGUUCACUGAUGCAAAUUUCAAAAUCAAAAUCUACUGUGACGUAACGAGGCAUUCGAUUCAAGUCAUGGCGGCAAGGAUAUGCAAACACUAUAUGCAAAUGAACAAAUAAUGCGAAGAAAUAUCCCUCGAAUAUGAUGGAGAGCAAUUAAGUUACAGUCGAAUUAAUUACCAAGGUUUGGAAUGAAUUUGAUCUUUCAACUGAGCAGUGAGCACAAGAAUUGAAGUAUAUUUAUACUGUGAGAAUGUGAGAUGCCCACUACGGC